GGUGGGCUAUAGUCCAUGGAGUUGCAAAGAGUUGGACACGAUUGAGUGACUUCACUUUCUGGGUCAGUGGGACGUCACUCAUUCGGGGACACCCCUUUCAGGCACAACCUUAAGCCAAGUUUCCUCACAUACAAUUAAACCUAUUUAUGUCCAGUCUGCACUCUCCUCAGUGGUUAAGGGACUUCUCCAAGGUCUCAUUCUAGUAAAUUGCAGAGCUGAACAAAUUGAACCCAUGACUGCUGUCUCUAAGUCCAGGGCUUACCUACUCCAAUAUGUUAUGUUUACCAAUUUGUAAAAUGGAAACUCUUCCUCCAACUAUGGAAACCACAGUUCUAAGUUAUGGAAGAAAGUCAAAUAAAAAUACAUGUGGUUCCAAAGAAAUGGACUAUCAAGCCAUGAAAAGACAUGGAGGAAACUUAAAUGCAUAUUACCAAGUGAAAGAAACUAAUCUGAAAAGGCUACAUAUGGAGGAUGACAUUUUGGAGAAAAGCAACACUGUGGAGGCAGUAAAAGGAUCAGUAGAUGCCGGCGAUUGAGAGAGAUGAAUAGUUGAAGCACAGAGGAAUUUAGGACAGUGACACUGUGCGGUAUGAUACUACAAUAGUGCACACAUGUUAUCCAUUUGUCCAAACCUGUAUGUAGCAUGUAUGUAUGUAGUCUAUGUAUGUAGUAUGUGUGUAUGUAGUCUACGGACCUGUAUGUAGUCUAUGGACCUGGGUGAUGAGGAUGUGUUAGUUCAGGUACAUCAGUGGCAACAUACAUUAUCAUUCUAUUGUGCGGUACUUGUGGGGAAAUUGCAUAUGUGUAGGGGGAAGGGACAUAUGGGAACUCUCUCUCUCUCCUCUAAAAACCUAAAAAUACUCUAAAAAGUAACAUCUGUUUUUAAAAAUGUGUAAUUCUUUUAAAAUAGGCAAAGUUUUAGGUUUUAAUGCCAAUAGAUUUGCCAUGUCUGACUCUAGUUUUCCUUUAAGACAAAUAACUUUCCUCUUUCAUCAGAAUGUCUGUAGUAAAUUGGUGCCCCAUCUCUGGGGCUUUCCACUGGCCACCAAUUUUCCUACUGUUAUUUUCAAGCAGCUUCAGCAUUGGUCUUCUAUAUUCAGGUAAUGUGGACACAUAAUUGAUUAUAAAAUAUACCUGGCUCUAAGGAUGUUUUCCUGCUGGAGAGUUUCAUACUCAAGUCUUGCAGUGAAGAUAUGAGAGAUCAUUUUUUACAAAGCCUUGGAGAUUUAGUGGAAUAAACUAGAAGCUUAACUUGAGACUUUCAAAACCCGAAAAUCU